AUCACUUGGGGAUCUUGUUGAAAUGCAGAUUUCAAUCCCAUGGGUCCCAAGUGGAACCUGAGAUUUUGCAUUUCUAACAAGGUCUCAGGUGAUACCCA
rnacentral:pre_miRNA from 1 species